GUCCCCACUGGAAAAGGGAACAAUCAAAGAGGAAAAGACCACUUAACAAGGGGGUUGGGAGGUAGUUGGCCAGCUUUGGAAUAGCUGGUGAGAGAGAGAAACUUUCAUUACCAUCUAGUUACCACCUGUUCUCUAGAUGGGAAAAAGAAAAAAAAGUCAGUAAAUACUGGAAGCAGACAGUUCCCAGAAGUCACCCCCACAAAAAAAUAAGCUGGGUGGUGGGGGUGGUGGUUAGUUGUUGUUGCUAGAAGACAGAAGACUUACUAUUUGGAAACCUUCCCCGGGUUCCACAGGAUCUACGAGACUCUAGUCAGCAAAGGGAGCAAUGCCUGUCCACGUGUGUGUGAAUGCAUGCGUUUAUAAUGAUGGCUUUUCCUUCCUCCCCAGAGUGUUCAUACUGUGGAGCCCGCUGGGACCAGUAUAAACUCUGCUCUACUCCCCAGUGCCACCAGCUCGUUUUGACCUGCCCUGCCUGUCAAGGACAAGGAUUCACAGCCUGUUGUGUCACAUGUCAAGACAAGGGGAGCAGGAAAGUUUCAGGCCCUAUGCAAGACAGCUUUAAAGAGGAAUGUGAAUGCACAGCCCGACGGCCACGCAUACCUAGGGAACUCUUGCAGCAUGUGCGACAGCCUGUGAGCCCAGAGCCAGGGCCUGAUGCUGAGGAGGAUGGGCCAGUGCUUGUGUGAGCAGCACCUUUGGCAUUUUCCCAGGCCCUUGGUAAAAGUAGGUUUGGGGUGACUAUACAGAGAAAGCAUGGCAAGGCUGCAGAAACAGAGAAAUCGGGAACUUCAGUUCUGGCCACUGCCACCAUGGCAGCCAUCUACACUUCACAGCAGGAGGGGAGGAGUCGCGUUGUCUACCACUUACCUGAGACAUUCUGAUUUGGAUGAUGCUAGGGCACAGAAAAAAGGUGACCUGCGUGGGAUCCCAAAGCUGCUGAGGGAUCGAGCCUGAGCCUGGUGGCCACAGCAUAUGCCCUUUCUGUGCCAUGCAGCUGGGGCUGUUAGUAGUCAUUGCCCUUGUCAGGAGACCUUCUACCCUGGUGGCAAACAUGUGAAAGCUGUGGCCCUGGGAGUGGCCUCCUAAAACAAGCCACUUAGGUCUUCUGCCAUCUACCCUUAACCUCUGUCUCUCGCCUGAGGGGAAUCUGCAAGCUGUGCAUUGGGCUUACCUCCUGCUUUUGUAGAAAUAACCAUCCUUUGGUAUACAUGGAGGAUAGUUCCAGAACACCUGAGUAUACAAAAACCCAUGCAUACUCAAGUCCCACAGUGGGCCCUACAGAACCCAUGUAUGUGAUAAAUCAGCCCUCCAUGUACGCAGGCUUCGCCCCCUGCCAGUACUGUAUUUUCAACCUGUAUGGUUGAAAAAAAUCCAUAUAUAAGUGCAGCCAUGCAGUUCAAACCCAUAUUGUUCAAGGGUCAACUGUAUAGUUUAUUGGAACAGCCACACCCAUUCCUUUACACAUGAUCUGUGGCAGAAUUGAAUAGUUUCAACAGACACUGUGUGGCCUGCAAAAUCGGAAAUAUUUACUGUCUGGCCUUUUACAGAAAAGUUUGCCAGCCCCUGGUCUAGACCAGCAACUCAUCUGAUUGAUUGAUAGAGGCAGAGGUGGCCUUAAAGAUGUGGCCUUCUUCAUUUUCUGUUGGUUUGGUUUCGUUUCUAUGAGAGAUUUCCUCUAAUAGCUCUGCUUUCCCCAGCACUUACUCUCUGAGCUUUUAAAUGUUCUCUCUGGGAGCUUCAUAUAAGCUCGGUGACAUUUGAGCCACAGUUUUUAGAUCAGCACCUGGAAUACAUGACACAUUCUUACUGAGGUCAUCCAGCACUGCCAUGGUGGCUGCCCAGUCUUCUGGCCAGUGUGCCAGGCACAUGUCCCUGUCACACAGGUUCCAAGAAACACAUACGCAGCCAUACAUAAACCAACAGAUUUAAUAUUAUAUUGCAGUUUUCAGCGAUGCAGAAUGCAGCUGCAAUUGUGUUUUAAGGAGAAGCCAAGUGGGGAUGGUUGUCCCUGCAACAUGGUGCCACUCCUGGGCCAUGUGCAGCCUCAGUGGACACUCUUCCAUAGUGCUGAGGCCCUGGCCCCGCCUCCAGUUACCCUGUACUGCCCACUGCCUUACAGUGCAGUGUGCAGGCCUUCACCUUUUCAUCACCAGUCUCUCUGCUCAGUGCUCUGGAGUUCUUGACCUUGUCCUUUAUCAUGAGAUUUGCUGAAAUCACUAAUGAAAAUAACUCCCGAAAGCAACAAACAAAAAUAUUAGUUUAACUGGCACUGUGGUAUAUUAAAAGGCACAAGGGCAUUGUGGCUUAACACUUUUGCUGGAUCCCAAGAGACGCACAUGAUGUUAAAAAGAGAUCUGGCAGCAAUACUAAUAUUACGUUUCAGUGGUUUGGCCAGGAUUUCCCAAUUCCUUGAUAUCUGGAUUUUCUUCACCAUUGUCCUGCAUCCUGCAGAGGCUUAAUAUACAGGCGUAAGGUCAGCAGCAAUUUGUCUAAUAAGUGAUGAGAUCAGUAGCUGAAGUCUCUAAGCUGGGCCAUUACUAAAUACCAUAGCCAUGUUGAUCUGGAAAUUUAUCCCUCUAGUGUCUUACCUCACAUAAGCCAUUUGCCCACUGUGCAAUAUAGAAAGGUGUUUUCAAGUAUUUGGCCGUAGAUUUUUCACCUCCAUCGUAAGGUUGGCAUUCAAUAAGGAAAAAGUUCUAACUCCAGUAUUAAAUUAUACAUAAAUCCCAAAUGUUCUUAACACUCAGGGACAUGUUUGUUGCCUGGGAUUGGUAAUGAAAGGUUGGUUUUUGAAACUUGAAAUUUCACCAUUGGUUUUUUUCCUGUCAUUUCUGCAUAUCCAGCAAAAGGAAUCUCAUGUUGAUUCCUGGCAGGGUUCGGUGGCUUCAGUCUGUCUGUCUGUCCUGAGGGGAAAAUUGUGUUCUGGAUCCAGUAAUCAAUUUGGCAACUUUAAUCUCGAGGUUUUUAAAAUUCCAAGGAGGGUUAAUAAAGAAUGAUAAUCUGUUUUAUUUGCUAAUAGCUAAGACAAAUUUGUAAUAGUGUUUUAUAAUACUUCAAAAGCG
rnacentral:sRNA from 1 species